rnacentral:rRNA from 1 species
UACGUAGGGACCAAGCGUUGUUCGGAUUUACUGGGCGUAAAGGGCGCGUAGGCGGCUUGACAAGUCACUUGUGAAAUCUCCGGGCUUAACUCGGAACGGCCAAGUGAUACUGUCGUGCUAGAGUGCGGAAGGGGCUACUGGAAUUCUCGGUGUAGCGGUGAAAUGCGUAGAUAUCGAGAGGAACACCUGCGGCGAAGGCGGGUAGCUGGGCCGACACUGACGCUGAGGCGCGAAAGCCAGGGGAGCGAACGGG